AUUCUGUCUUGGUCCUCUCUCUUUCUUUUAUCUAUCUGUCUUCUAGUCCUUUCAUGCGGCUCUCAGUCCCACCCAUUUCUCUUUAUCCUCUGGAAUAUCUGCUCUUUCUAACUUUAUAUUUAUUCACCUUCAGUUUUUCAUUUUCUGAUAAGUUGCAGCAAAUCUGCCUGACUACUCUCCUCCUUGGACUGCUUACUUUCGCCCUAAUUGUGUAUGUGUGUGAAAAAGCGAGUGGGAGGGAGAAACGAUAGAGGGAGAGAGAGUGUGCACAUGGUUCAUUCCGGCUCAGUCCUGCCACCCAUCCUCAUCUUUCUCGCCUCUGCCUGUCGCUCUCGUUCCGUUUAUUUAGCCUGGCUUUAAGCAGCUCGUCCAGAAGGACGGGCCUCCUUCUUUGUGCCGCCUUCACUUUUUGUGACAAAAUAACACUUCUCAUGCUCUUAUUUUCUUCUCAAUAUUGAAGGAAUCUUGUUGGCAUGCUAUAAGCUUUCUCUCUCUCUGUGUGUGCUUUUUUGUCUUCCAAUUCCGAAGCAGGCAGAGAGCAAGAGGACCACCGAGUGAUAAGGGCAUCCUGGACCCAAGACGGAGGGUGAUUAGAAGAGAUCAGAACAUGUUGAAACAGUCCAGGAACUUGAGAUGGAUUUUAAAAAAGCACACUGACUCAGCUGCCCCUUUGAACACAAACACACACACACACACACACACACACACACACACACACACACAUGCUCACAUAUUUGUGUGUUUUGGGUUGUCAUGUCCAGAAUGUUCUUUUCAAUUAACCUCCUUAUCUCUUGGAAUCUCCCUGUAAAAUACUGUAAUGUUAAUAAAAUGUUUCCAUAGUUCUUGUGUCUUAUUCUUCAGAUAAAUCUAUCAAUGUUCUGUGCUAAUGUUUUAUGAAACUUAUAUUUGCUUUGUUAAUUAAGUAUUAUUUAUUUUUAACAGUUAUCAUUCUUUAAGUUUGCUAAUUUCAAUUUUUUUAUAUUUAAUUAUAAUAGCUUUUGCUCAUUUUCCAUCUUUAAAAAAAGCACUGCUCUAUGCUUUAUGCUGACAUUUUGUAUACAAGUUGUUUGCACUUUAAUAAAACUUUACUAUUGUGUCUCAGAACAUUGUGAUGGUACAUCUAGAGGUAAUGUAGAUGCAACCCUAAUAAACCUAACUGAUUUUGUUCUCAGAAAACACUGACUUAUUGCUAUCAGUUUAGCAUAGCCUUAGUUUAGCAGCCUUUAGCUAGCACUCUGUAUCAUCCUUUCUACAGUAAACUCUUCACAUAAAAACUCCUAAAAUCUGACUACUACAGCUAUAUGGAAAUGUUCAUCAAGGCUCUAUGUUAUUUAGCAUUUUAUGGGAAUUCCUGCUUAUCUGAUAAUAUUGUGGAGUGUUUCAGACCUCUCUGCAUGACAGAACUUUUUUAAUCAAAUGUAAUUUUUUAUUUUUUUUUCACUAUCUAUUGAACUUUAUCCUGAGUUUGUAACAUUUGCGUCUCACCACAUUUCCAGAAAACAUCAGAUCUAAAGCGUUUCCUCCCACACUUGUUUCAGGUAGUUCUUGGCUAUAGGUUUUGCACAUAAGAAGAACAUCAGCCUUUAAGAGUUUAAUGUUAAAGAAGAUUGGAAAGAAAAUACAGCUGGAUAUUUUAAGAUCAUCAGAGGAGAAUUCUGUUAUUUUUAAUUUCUUUAACAAAUCCAACAUAUUUGUAUGUCAUGAGGUCAAAGUGCUUAAAAUGAGGUUUUACUUUCUAAAGGGUUUUAUCAUGUUCUUCAACUGUGUUAAUAUCAGGUAAUGAACAUUUGUUUCAUUAUGUGUAACAUUGUUUUUGUUACACAUACUGUGUGAAUAAAACUUCACUUUAAACAGGCUCAAAGGUUUUACUAAUUUACGCUCCAGAAUAAUUUAUUCUGAGUUUGUUCUAAUUUUAUUAGAUUCAAAUUAGUGCAGAAUAAUGAGUUCUGAUAAAACUACAAAUUUUGUUUGAUUUUUGAAUUGCCAAAGUAAUAAAGAACAUUGCUAAAAAAAUGUGUUCAUUUUCUGAGUAUAUAUAGCCUAGUAACAAAUAUCAGAGUAAUUAAAUUAUACUCAGAAGAUAAAAUGACAAAAACUCAUUUUUAAAUACGGAGUAGUAAACUAUGAUUCAUAUUACUUUAGCUAUGUAAAACUGAUCAUGCUUUCAUUUUAUUAUUGAUUUUAAGGAUGUGUAGCUAUUUAUUUUUAUCCUGUUUAAGUAAUAAUAAUAACUUAGGAACAGAAGGAACCAACAUUGUGAAAUAUUAGAGCCCUUUUAUGCUGCAGAUUUAUUAGGAAGAACAGAAGUGCCUUCCUUUGAAAAAGUUAAAUAUUUAGAAAGAUUUAUUCAUUAUUGUUCCAAUUCAGAUUUCAGGAGGAUUACACUUUUUAUCUCCUAAAACUAAAAUUCUGGAAUAAACUGAAAGCAUGUAUGCUUUGACAUAUUCCUCUUUACAAGUUGACUUAGUUGCCAUCAAAUCUAUAAUUAUGUUUAUAUGAAGUGAAAAAUAUGCUGCAUAAACACAAACAUUUACCAUGAGGCUCAAUAAUGAACUUUACUUUAGACAUAAGAACAAUUGUAUAAAACAUACUUUUCUGCUCAUUUGUAUUUGCAGUGUGAAAAGUGAAGAUUAUCAGGUACAAACAGCUGAUUAAAGGAAACACUGAAAGAUUUACACAGAGAAACCGUGUGUGUGUUCAGCAUUUUUGUCCCAGUCAGCUUUGUUUGCUGCUUUUUGCUGUCUCUUGCCCUCUCAUCGCUCACGCGCUCUGCCUUAAAAUCCAUGCUGAGAGUUGGCUCACAAGCUGGAGCUCUUUGCUGCUGAAAGUAGGCCAAAAGCAAUCUGAGGACAAGGCUCAGGCAGAGACAGAGAGGUAUGGAUGGUUGGGGAAGAAAACAUGUGACAGUCAUUUAGGAAUGUCUUUUGCUGCUGGAAACCCUGUUUAUGCUUUAAUCUGUUGCUUUAUUCUGUAGGAAACCAUCUUUCACAUUUUAUGAUUUAUAUACAAGUGUAAGUCUUUCUUCAAUCACAAAGGUACAGAGAUUUAAAGAAACCUGUAAUGAUUUUUGAUUAAAAAUAUUGACCAACAUAUAAAAGAAGAUUUUGUUUUAUGAUUUAUGACAACAAAAGUUGUUUUUGGAUUCUGUAAAACUAUUUGAAUUGAGAAAAACUGAAUAUUUGCUGUGCUUCUUCAAAUAAGCUACAGGUAAACAGAGUAUGAAAUAUUGUCAUUGCUGUAUAUUUUGUGACAUUGUUGUGAAGAAUUUAAAAGCUUUCAUUUUCCUGAAUCUAUCCAAAGGCUUAAACUAUCCAAUCAAUCCAUGCAUUCCUGAAGGGCCAUUGUUUCCUCAAAGCAUCACAGAGAGAAAAGAAAAAGAAGUUAUUGAUUUAUUUAUUUUUUCCUAUCCUCAAGGCUGCGUUCAAACUUCAGCUGGAGAAUUUGUCCUUGUGAACCUCUACCUCACACCGUGUCUCUAAAAUAAAGUCCUGUUUUUGGAAGUCUUUGUCAGUUUCCGUCUUGCUUCCUGCUGUUGCUGCACAGUUUUAAGAAUAUCUAUAACCUCAAUAUACAUAUUGAGGUUU